rnacentral:snRNA from 1 species
AUAAACUCUAAAGAGAAUGAAAGA